rnacentral:rRNA from 1 species
UACGUAGGUGGCAAGCGUUGUCCGGAAUUAUUGGGCGUAAAGCGCGCGCAGGCGGUUCCUUAAGUCUGAUGUGAAAGCCCACGGCUCAACCGUGGAGGGUCAUUGGAAACUGGGGAACUUGAGUGCAGGAGAGAAGAGUGGAAUUCCACGUGUAGCGGUGAAAUGCGUAGAGAUGUGGAGGAACACGAGUGGCGAAGGCGACUCUUUGGCCUGUAACUGACGCUGAGGCGCGAAAGCGUGGGGAGCAAACAGG